AUUGAACGCUGGCGGCAUGCCUUACACAUGCAAAUCGAACGGUAACGGGCCUUCGGGUGCCGACGAGUGGCGAACGGGUGAGUAAUACAUCGGAACGUGCCCGAUCGUGGGGGAUAACGAGGCGAAAGCUUUGCUAAUACCGCAUACGAUCUACGGAUGAAAGCAGGGGACCGCAAGGCCUUGCGCGGACGGAGCGGCCGAUGGCAGAUUAGGUAGUUGGUGGGAUAAAAGCUUACCAAGCCUACGAUCUGUAGCUGGUCUGAGAGGAUGAUCAGCCACACUGGGACUGAGACACGGCCCAGACUCCUACGGGAGGCAGCAGUGGGGAAUUUUGGACAAUGGGCGCAAGCCUGAUCCAGCCAUGCCGCGUGCAGGAUGAAGGCCUUCGGGUUGUAAACUGAUUUUGUACGGAACGAAAAGCCUUCUUUUAAUACAGGAGGGUCAUGACGGUACCGUAAGAAUAAGCACCGGCUAACUACGUG
rnacentral:rRNA from 1 species